rnacentral:rRNA from 1 species
CCUACGGGAGGCAGCAGUGGGGAAUAUUGCACAAUGGGGGAAACCCUGAUGCAGCGACGCCGCGUGAGUGAAGAAGUAUUUCGGUAUGUAAAGCUCUAUCAGCAGGGAAGAAAUAGCGACCUUUGGGUCGCCAGACGGUACCUGAUUAAGAAGCCCCGGCUAACUACGUGCCAGCAGCCGCGGCAAUACGUAGGGGGCAAGCGUUAUCCGGAUUUACUGGGUGGAAAGGGAGCGUAGGCGGUCGGACAAGUUAGAGGUGAAAUCCCGAGGCUCAACUUCGGAAUUGCCUCUGAUACUGGUCGGCUAGAGAGUAGGUGCGGUAAGCGGAAUGUAUGGUGUAGCGGUGAAAUGCCUAGAGA